rnacentral:lncRNA from 1 species
AUUUUGUCCCGUUUAUUAUUUGAAGCGCUAUGGUGGUUUCCCUGUUCAUCUUAGACCUAGUUUGGGAAUAUUUUAAACAAGAACUUGUCCUUAAAAUUAAGACUAUCUGGGACACCUGUGGACUGAGCUUCCGGUCUGAGCUCUAAGGGAGCGGGGCGCAGGGCAGCUGUAUUUUAAUAGCAUUAUGUGGGAAAAGUGAGAAGGAACAUUUUAAUCUAAUCAUGAAUGUCCUUAAUCAGAGCCCUGCUUUCGGCAGGAGGUUAACAUUAGGGAGAGGGAACAGAACCGCAAAUACAGACUCCACCUCAUUAGAGAAGAAAAGCAGAGGAAAUGAUGUCACUGGCAAACUGUGGGAUGCAGGAUGAGAAAGCUCCAGAAUGUGACGCUGGAGGGAAUACUGAGGAAAAGGGCGCACAGGCGAGGCCCCUCAGCAGGACAAGAGUUAACCGAGUGAAGAAAAUGCCUUGAUUUUUGCUGCCUCGCAAAUGUACUGAUUAAUUCAGUAGGUUUCCAGUGGCAUGAAAUGGAGCUCAGAGAAAUUUCAAGAACAUUGAACUAGGGAGAACUAAGGGAUUAAUAAUAAUAUUAAAUAAGUUACGGGUUUUUUUUUUUUAUUCUUCCACCUGCAUGCACUGAAUUGUUUUUAACCAUCGUUUAUUUUUUAGCUUGGGAAUAUAAUGAACAUUGAAUUUCUUCAUGUUUUAGGAAUAUCAUGAGGAUGAAGAGACUUAUACUCAUGAGUUUCCCUAAACACACAGUUGGCUUUCUUAUUUCUGCUUUCAUGCAGGUUUGCCUUCUCCCUGCCUCGCGUCUCUAAGUACCAGUUCAGAGGCCACCUGUCAUCUGGAUCACUCUUUGAUCCCCGCAGACAAGAUGACCCCUCUGGUUUCCCUGUCCUCGGACAGAAAGACUGUCUUGGGGUGCCUGGGUGGCACAGCGGUUGGGCGUCUGCCUUCGGCUCAGGGCGUGAUCCCGGCGUUAUGGGAUCGAGCCCCACGUCAGGCUCCUCUGCUAUGAGCCUGCUUCUUCCUCUCCCUCUCCCCCUGCUUGUGUUCCCUCUCUCGCUGGCUGUCUCUAUCUCUGUCGAAUAAAUUAAAAAAAAAUCUUAAAAAAAAGGAAGACUGUCUUAAUGGUCAUGAUCACAGCCCAAAGCAGUAUGUUGCAAAAUGGAUGUUGGUUCAAUUAUGAAUAAAGACUAAGACCCACAAAUGAAACACAAACAGUGAAUAAAACCAAAUACCUGGUAAAACAAAGAAACAAAUCUCAAAUAAUAAUUGAGAACACGUCAGUACGAGAAUUUGCACAGCCUUGCAGGUAUUUACAUAAUAUAGUUUUCCUAUGAUCUCUCCAACACAAGCAGAAUACUUCUAUUAUUUGCCCACAUAACCACCGUUGGCUUCCUUUGCACAAACAAGAAGAAGGAAUGUUUGGAUGAUCUCUUGGGCUUAAGUGAGAUUUUGCCCAAACCAACAAUGAGCUCUGGUCACAAUUAGCUUCCCUUCAUCUCAUGAGUUUCUAGAGCUGUAGGAAAAUUACUUUUUGAAUCCAGGUUAGAUCUCACAUAGAACAUUGUAAAUGUACUCAAAAAAGGUAUGUUCUUGGAACACCUGGGUGGCUCAGUCGGUUAAGCAUCUGCCCUAGGCUCAGGUCAUGAUCCCAGGGUCCUGGGAUCGAGCCCCACAUCAGGUUCCCUGCAGUGGGGAGUCUGCUUCUCCCUCUCCUCUCCUCCUCCCCCCACUCAGCCUCUCUCACUCUCUCACUCUCUCUCUCUCAAAUCAAUAAAUAAAAUCUUUAAAAAAAAAAGAUAUAAUCUCUGGGUGAACUGCGUCCUUGCGGUAGUAAACUAAGCUAUGGGUUUUAUUAAGUAAGCCCUCAGGAAUUCCCACUUAUCUGGCCCCAACUUUAAUAAACAUUCAAAUGUCACUGAUUGAACAGACAGAAAAGACUACUCACUCUGUAAUUCCAUUUAUACGUUAUUCUAGAAAAGGCAAAAUUGUAUUGACACAAAGUGGGACAGGGGUUCCCAGGACAGGCUGCAAAGGGGCGUGAAGGAACUGGGGUGGUGGUGGAAAUGUUCAAUAUACAUUAUGUGGUGGGCGCUAAAUGACUCCACGCAUCUGGACAAACUGCAUCAGAUCGGACAGUUAAAAUCAGUCGUUCUUAUUGUAGGUUAAUUCUACUUCAACAAAGCCACUAAAAUCCAAUGACCAAGUUGGGUACAUGACAACUUGUGAUUCUUAUAAUUCAUCGCUGCAAUUGCCUUAUGUUUCAGAGUUAUGCUCUGAAGAAAUUUAGAAAACUCAAGUGUUUCUCGCUUUAUCACAGGCAAUAUCAUGGGCGACAAUUGGGCUAAAAUAGAACCAGUUUAUAGAGUGCACAGAUGAAGAUGGG